AGAUUGAACGCUGGCGGCAUGCUUUACACAUGCAAGUCGAACGGUAACAGGCCGCAAGGUGCUGACGAGUGGCGAACGGGUGAGUAAUGUAUCGGAACGUGCCCAGUCGUGGGGGAUAACGCAGCGAAAGCUGCGCUAAUACCGCAUACGAUCUAUGGAUGAAAGCGGGGGACCGUAAGGCCUCGCGCGAUUGGAGCGGCCGAUAUCAGAUUAGGUAGUUGGUGGGGUAAAGGCUCACCAAGCCAACGAUCUGUAGCUGGUCUGAGAGGACGACCAGCCACACUGGGACUGAGACACGGCCCAGACUCCUACGGGAGGCAGCAGUGGGGAAUUUUGGACAAUGGGCGCAAGCCUGAUCCAGCAAUGCCGCGUGCAGGAAGAAGGCCUUCGGUUGUAAACUGCUUUUGUACGGAACGAAACGGUCCUGGUUAAUACCCUGGGCUAAGUGACGGUACCGUAAGAAUAAGCACCGGCUAACUACGUGACCAGCAGCCGCGGUAACG
rnacentral:rRNA from 1 species